rnacentral:rRNA from 1 species
AACGGCGAGUGAAGCGGUCAAGAGCUCAGAUUUGAAAUCGUGCUUUGCGGCACGAGUUGUAGAUUGCAGGUUGGAGUCUGUGUGGAAGGCGGUGUCCAAGUCCCUUGGAACAGGGCGCCCAGGAGGGUGAGAGCCCCGUGGGAUGCCGGCGGAAGCAGUGAGGCCCUUCUGACGAGUCGAGUUGUUUGGGAAUGCAGCUCCAGCGGGUGGUAAAUUCCAUCUAAGGCUAAAUACUGGCGAGAGACCGAUAGCGAACAAGUACUGUGAAGGAAAGAUGAAAAGCACUUUGAAAAGAGAGUGAAACAGCACGUGAAAUUGUUGAAAGGGAAGGGUAUUGCGCCCGACAUGGGGAUUGCGCACCGCUGCCUCUCGUGGGCGGCGCUCUGGGCUUUCCCUGGGCCAGCAUCGGUUCUUGCUGCAGGAGAAGGGGUUCUGGAACGUGGCUCUUCGGAGUGUUAUAGCCAGGGCCAGAUGCUGCGUGCGGGGACCGAGGACUGCGGCCGUGUAGGUCACGGAUGCUGGCAGAACGGCGCAACACCG